rnacentral:lncRNA from 1 species
GGAAAGCAUCUAUAAAACGUAACUAGCACUAUUCCGUUCUGACAUGAAUGAGCUUUAUUGGUUGAUACAGACAUAUAGCAGUUUCGUCGUUAAUGUUUGCGAGCUCCUGUACAUGGCCCCGAUAGCCUGCUGGAUGCCUAUGCAUGCACAUGCAUGCAUGCAUGCAUGCAUAGGCAUGAAGAAAUGUAGACCAGCAGGCGAUUCAUAUGCAUAUGUCGAGUAAUAAGUACGAGGGUGGGCAUCACAUCCUAAAGCACCUGCCUGUACAUGGGGAUGUACAUGUGCCACAUGGGUAGGUUCAAGGCCUAGGUGGGCGUCUCAUUUAAUCGGCUGUGUAAUUGGUUGGCUAGAGUUAUGUAGGAUUUCUGGAUGGGGUAGCUAUAGCUAUGCAUGCUAGCCGACGAUGUUAUUGUGUAGUACGCUACAUUUCCCUCCAAAUAUUUUAACGAUUAUUAAUAACAACACCUGUUAAUUCCGUUGACGAUUCGACUCAAGUUCCGUACAUGUACAUGUCCCACAAUAUCAUGACACGGACAUAUCGGAUGUUCGUAGCGACACCUAACAGGCUGGGGCCCCGGGCCCCAUCGACAGUAUCCUAGUACAGUACGACAGGACCGUAGUAGAGAUUCGUCCGGCAGGUAGGCCAAGAUAUAAGCUACCCGGGCGGGGUGCUCUGGCCAGGCACUUCAGUAUCACGACUACUUGGUGUUCGGAGUCCAAGACUCUGCUGCCACCGUCUUAGUUGCUUCGAUCUUGUCUAUGUAAGCUAGUGCCUGUCGCUGGGUUGGACUCCUUCCCGCCUCAGCAAGGCCCCUAAGCUCCACGCUUCUGCAAGGUCAGUCGUGCCACCAGGCGAGCAUCUGCCACGUGCUGCAAUCUACUAGAUCUGUAAGGAUACAGAUAGAUGCUGCUAUAUGCCCUGCCUAUGAGUUGGUAGCUGGAUGGGCCAAGUGCGGCAGGGUAGGAUUUUAAUGUAGAUAGAGCAGUAACCUCCGAUGUUUGCACAACAUGGAUGUGGGGGGUUUAUUCGCAUCACAAAUCAUUCAUGCGCACAAAACCUCUGUAUACAUGCAUAGCGUUCCUUACAUUCUUCUGCCCUAGUUUCAGGGGCCGGUGACGCCAGGGUGACAAGAUAUGAGUCUCAUGCGUGCGUUUUCAUGUGUGUGUAUGUACGGCUUGCGUUGUUGUGGUACGUUUGUGUCGUACAACGAUGGCACGUUUGAGAGUUUGGUCUAGUGGUAUGAUUCUCGCUUAGGGUGCGAGAGGUCGUGGGUUCAAUUCCCGCAACUCCCCGGCACAUGCGCACGACAGCUUCCUCCUCAGCGACGAAACGAAGGGUCUCUAGCUCAGUGGUAGAGCAGCUGACUGCAGAUCAGCAGGUCUCCGGUUCGAUCCCGGAGGGGCCCUGGUAUUGACCCUCCUUGACUCAAGAGUGUCUGUCAGAAGCGUGCAGAAAUCCUCUUGCAGCGAAGCAGAAGUAGGUUUUUCACCCCAACCUGAUGUAUCCUGCGCAGACCGCAGGGGCGGUUUCUAUCACCCCUAUCGAUAGCCUGUAUGUGGUAUGGGCACUGCACUGUGCAACCAUGUCAUGAGGACCUUACCAACAAUCAGCAUGCUUGUACACACUUUGCAUAUGCAUUCCUACCCGCAUGCACAUAGCAUGCAUGCUGUGUAUGUGUGGUUACAUCUAAUAAUAUAAUAAGUAGGUUGAGCAGUUACAUAGGUGAGGCUGGUCAAUGGUGAUCACCUACCAUUCAUGGAAGGCAUUCAUGCAUUCUCAGACCAGAUCCAUUGUUAUUUUAUCCUGGUGCAUCCACUUGUUAUCAUAGGGUGUGGUGACGCACGGCUACCUGCCUUCAGGCUCCUUUCCACAGCUUUAGUCAACUUUCAAGUCAAAACGGAUCAGAUAUGUCAGUACGGCCGGUCUUUCAGUGCAUGAUGAUCGACAUGGAAGACAUUUCGCUCGUAUGGGUCUUGAUUGUCAAAUCGAUUCUAUGUUGGAUAUGGCGGAUGUUAAAUGGUAUUGGUUCUUGUCUCAUCACAUAUAAUUGAGCCAAUAACCAUUAUCAUGCGUUAUGGACAAACCAAGGGACCGACCGACUGACUGACUCAGGGCAAAAAGAGGCCAGAUGCGGGACUUAGCGAUGGGUUGCACUGAAACACAAUGUGUGAGUAGGUGUUGUGUAUCUAAAAUGUACGCACCUACCCAUACAUAGAUGGGAUACCCAUGUAUGUGUGCCCAGUAGAGCUAUAUAUCUGAACAUUUUACGAUUUGUGAGCGCCUAUAUAGCUUAGUGGUAGAGCGUUCCCUUCGUAAGGGAAAGGUCUUGAGUUCAAUCCUCAAUGUGGGCAUUUUAUGUGUUGCUGGGAUGUUUGUAUGGCUGCAAUCGCAGUCUUCUACUGAAGCACAUGUCUUUACGAUUUCAUAGGACAUCAAGGGAAAAGGUCCCGCGUAAAGUCCUGCACACAGCAGGAAAACAAGGGAGGAUCGUCCGCCUUCAGUCUGUAUCACUGCCAAUGGAAAGCAUCUAUAAAACGUAACUAGCACUAUUCCGUUCUGACAUGAAUGAGCUUUAUUGGUUGAUACAGACAUAUAGCAGUUUCGUCGUUAAUGUUUGCGAGCUCCUGUACAUGGCCCCGAUAGCCUGCUGGAUGCCUAUGCAUGCACAUGCAUGCAUGCAUGCAUGCAUAGGCAUGAAGAAAUGUAGACCAGCAGGCGAUUCAUAUGCAUAUGUCGAGUAAUAAGUACGAGGGUGGGCAUCACAUCCUAAAGCACCUGCCUGUACAUGGGGAUGUACAUGUGCCACAUGGGUAGGUUCAAGGCCUAGGUGGGCGUCUCAUUUAAUCGGCUGUGUAAUUGGUUGGCUAGAGUUAUGUAGGAUUUCUGGAUGGGGUAGCUAUAGCUAUGCAUGCUAGCCGACGAUGUUAUUGUGUAGUACGCUACAUUUCCCUCCAAAUAUUUUAACGAUUAUUAAUAACAACACCUGUUAAUUCCGUUGACGAUUCGACUCAAGUUCCGUACAUGUACAUGUCCCACAAUAUCAUGACACGGACAUAUCGGAUGUUCGUAGCGACACCUAACAGGCUGGGGCCCCGGGCCCCAUCGACAGUAUCCUAGUACAGUACGACAGGACCGUAGUAGAGAUUCGUCCGGCAGGUAGGCCAAGAUAUAAGCUACCCGGGCGGGGUGCUCUGGCCAGGCACUUCAGUAUCACGACUACUUGGUGUUCGGAGUCCAAGACUCUGCUGCCACCGUCUUAGUUGCUUCGAUCUUGUCUAUGUAAGCUAGUGCCUGUCGCUGGGUUGGACUCCUUCCCGCCUCAGCAAGGCCCCUAAGCUCCACGCUUCUGCAAGGUCAGUCGUGCCACCAGGCGAGCAUCUGCCACGUGCUGCAAUCUACUAGAUCUGUAAGGAUACAGAUAGAUGCUGCUAUAUGCCCUGCCUAUGAGUUGGUAGCUGGAUGGGCCAAGUGCGGCAGGGUAGGAUUUUAAUGUAGAUAGAGCAGUAACCUCCGAUGUUUGCACAACAUGGAUGUGGGGGUUUAUUCGCAUCACAAAUCAUUCAUGCGCACAAAACCUCUGUAUACAUGCAUAGCGUUCCUUACAUUCUUCUGCCCUAGUUUCAGGGGCCGGUGACGCCAGGGUGACAAGAUAUGAGUCUCAUGCGUGCGUUUUCAUGUGUGUGUAUGUACGGCUUGCGUUGUUGUGGUACGUUUGUGUCGUCCAACGAUGGCAUGUUUGGGAUUUUGGUCUAGUGGUAUGAUUCUCGCUUAGGGUGCGAGAGGUCGUGGGUUCAAUUCCCGCAACUCCCCGGCACACGCGCACGACAGCUUCCUCCUCAGCAACGAAACGAAGGGUCUCUAGCUCAGUGGUAGAGCAGCUGCCUGCAGAUCAGCAGGUCUCCGGUUCGAUCCCGGAGGGGCCCUGGUAUUGGCCCUCCUUGACUCAAGAGUGUCUGUCAGAAGCGUGCAGAAAUCCUCUUGCAGCGAAGCAGAAGUAGGUUUUUCACCCCAACCUGAUGUAUCCUGCGCAGACCGCAGGGGCGGUUUCUAUCACCCCUAUCGAUAGCCUGUAUGUGGUAUGGGCACUGCACUGUGCAACCAUGUCAUGAGGACCUUACCAACAAUCAGCAUGCUUGUACACACUUUGCAUAUGCAUUCCUACCCGCAUGCACAUAGCAUGCAUGCUGUGUAUGUGUGGUUACAUCUAAUAAUAUAAUAAGUAGGUUGAGCAGUUACAUAGGUGAGGCUGGUCAAUGGUGAUCACCUACCAUUCAUGGAAGGCAUUCAUGCAUUCUCAGACCAGAUCCAUUGUUAUUUUAUCCUGGUGCAUCCACUUGUUAUCAUAGGGUGUGGUGACGCACGGCUACCUGCCUUCAGGCUCCUUUCCACAGCUUUAGUCAACUUUCAAGUCAAAACGGAUCAGAUAUGUCAGUACGGCCGGUCUUUCAGUGCAUGAUGAUCAACAUGGAAGACAUUUCGCUCGUAUGGGUCUUGAUUGUCAAAUCGAAUCUAUGUUGGAUAUGGCGGAUGUUAAAUGGUAUUGGUUCUUGUCUCAUCACAUAUAAUUGAGCCAAUAACCAUUAUCAUGCGUUAUGGACAAACCAAGGGACCGACCGACUGACUGACUCAGGGCAAAAAGAGGCCAGAUGCGGGACUUAGCGAUGGGUUGCACUGAAACACAAUGUGUGAGUAGGUGUUGUGUAUCUAAAAUGUACGCACCUACCCAUACAUAGAUGGGAUACCCAUGUAUGUGUGCCUAGUAGAGCUAUAUAUCUGAACAUUUUACGAUUUGUGAGCGCCUAUAUAGCUUAGUGGUAGAGCGUUCCCUUCGUAAGGGAAAGGUCUUGAGUUCAAUCCUCAAUGUGGGCAUUUUAUGUGUUGCUGGGAUGUUUGUAUGGCUGCAAUCGCAGUCUUCUACUGAAGCACAUGUACAUGUCUUUACGAUUUCAUAGGACAUCAAGGGAAAAGGUCCUGCGUAAAGUCCUGCACACAGCAGGAAAACAAGGGAGGAUCGUCCGCCUUCAGUCUGUAUCACUGCCAAUGGAAAGCAUCUAUAANACGUAACUAGCACUAUUCCGUUCUGACAUGAAUGAGCUUUAUUGGUUGAUACAGACAUAUAGCAGUUUCGUCGUUAAUGUUUGCGAGCUCCUGUACAUGGCUCCGAUAGCCUGCUGGAUGCCUAUGCAUGCACAUGCAUGCAUGCAUGCAUGCAUGCAUNNNNNNNNNNNNNNNNNNNNNNNNNNNNNNNNNNNNNNNNNNNNNNNNNNAGUUGGUAGCUGGAUGGGCCAAGUGCGGCAGGGUAGGAUUUUAAUGUAGAUAGAGCAGUAACCUCCGAUGUUUGCACAACAUGGAUGUGGGGGGUUUAUUCGCAUCACAAAUCAUUCAUGCGCACAAAACCUCUGUAUACAUGCAUAGCGCUCCUUACAUUCUUCUGCCCUAGUUUCAGGGGCCGGUGACGCCAGGGUGACAAGAUAUGAGUCUCAUGCGUGCGUUUUCAUGUGUGUGUAUGUACGGCUUGCGUUGUUGUGGUAUGUUUGUGUCGUACAACGAUGGCAUGUUUGGGAGUUUGGUCUAGUGGUAUGAUUCUCGCUUAGGGUGCGAGAGGUCGUGGGUUCAAUUCCCGCAACUCCCCGGCACACGCGCACGACAGCUUCCUCCUCAGCGACGAAAUGAAGGGUCUCUAGCUCAGUGGUAGAGCAGCUGACUGCAGAUCAGCAGGUCUCCGGUUCGAUCCCGGAGGGGCCCUGGUAUUGGCCCUCCUUGACUCAAGAGUGUCUGUCAGAAGCGUGCAGAAAUCCUCUUGCAGCGAAGCAGAAGUAGGUUUUUCACCCCAACCUGAUGUAUCCUGCGCAGACCGCAGGGGCGGUUUCUAUCACCCCUAUCGAUAGCCUGUAUGUGGUAUGGGCACUGCACUGUGCAACCAUGUCAUGAGGACCUUACCAACAAUCAGCAUGCUUGUACACACUUUGCAUAUGCAUUCCUACCCGCAUGCACAUAGCAUGCAUGCUGUGUAUGUGUGGUUACAUCUAAUAAUAUAAUAAGUAGGUUGAGCAGUUACAUAGGUGAGGCUGGUCAAUGGUGAUCACCUACCAUUCAUGGAAGGCAUUCAUGCAUUCUCAGACCAGAUCCAUUGUAUUUUAUCCUGGGCAUCCACUGUAUCAUAGGGUGUGGUGACGCACGGCUACCUGCCUUCAGGCUCCUUUCCACAGCUUUAGUCAACUUUCAAGUCAAAACGGAUCAGAUAUGUCAGUACGGCCGGUCUUUCAGUGCAUGAUGAUCGACAUGGAAGACAUUUCGCUCGUAUGGGUCUUGAUUGUCAAAUCGAUUCUAUGUUGGAUAUGNCGGAUGUUAAAUGGUAUUGGUUCUUGUCUCAUCACAUAUAAUUGAGCCAAUAACCAUUAUCAUGCGUUAUGGACAAACCAAGGGACCGACCGACUGACUGACUCAGGGCAAAAAGAGGCCAGAUGCGGGACUUAGCGAUGGGUUGCACUGAAACACAAUGUGUGAGUAGGUGUUGUGUAUCUAAAAUGUACGCACCUACCCAUACAUAGAUGGGAUACCCAUGUAUGUGUGCCUAGUAGAGCUAUAUAUCUGAACAUUUUACGAUUUGUGAGCGCCUAUAUAGCUUAGUGGUAGAGCGUUCCCUUCGUAAGGGAAAGGUCUUGAGUUCAAUCCUCAAUGUGGGCAUUUUAUGUGUUGCUGGGAUGUUUGUAUGGCUGCAAUCGCAGUCUUCUACUGAAGCACAUGUACAUGUCUUUACGAUUUCAUAGGACAUCAAGGGAAAAGGUCCUGCGUAAAGUCCUGCACACAGCAGGAAAACAAGGGAGGAUCGUCCGCCUUCAGUCUGUAUCACUGCCAAUGGAAAGCAUCUAUAAAACGUAACUAGCACUAUUCCGUUCUGACAUGAAUGAGCUUUAUUGGUUGAUACAGACAUAUAGCAGUUUCGUCGUUAAUGUUUGCGAGCUCCUGUACAUGGCUCCGAUAGCCUGCUGGAUGCCUAUGCAUGCACAUGCAUG